rnacentral:lncRNA from 1 species
ACUCUUAUAUAUAUUAAUUACUGAAUACAAGUUACAAGGUAGAAUACGCACAAUAAAGUAAUAAUACACUAAUUACGGAUAACUUAACAUAGAUGAAGGUAACUAGAAGGGGAUGAGAUACUAGACCAUAGAAAGGAGAUGAGAGGAUCAGAAAGCCAAAGCUUCACAUAAAUUUCAUGCCCCUUCUUCCAACUUCUAGUCCUUUUUAAUAGAGAUACUAAUUGGGCCUGGAUCCCCAAAUAAAAGUAUCUAAUAGCCCAUAGGCCCUUACCAAGUCACGUCGAGUUCACAACAAUACUCCCGCCCUCAAAAAGAACCUUGUCCUCAAGGUUCAAGUCAUGAAAUUCAUCCAAAAACUCUCUAAAUUAUCUGACGAGUAACAAUUUCCACACACUUCAAUGUCACAAGUGUAAAGUGAAACAACAUUCCUCCAUCCAGCAAUGAACUAGGCCAGAUAAAAUGAUCUAGAUGUUCUGAUGUGAGGUGUAACUUUAUGUUGUCUUUGGAGAGUAUUAAGGAAAUUGACAUUACUCCCGUUGCCUCUUGAACAUAUUGUCCAGCUUUAACUAGAACAAUAACCCCUCCACAAUGGCAAAUGUCACUGCAACAUACUCCUCUAAGGUGAUGUUUGUAGGAUAAUGCCUUUGGCCGAUCCAGUGACAUAAGAGAAGUAAACUCAUUACUUUCAGCUGCCACAGAACUACUCCAGCAAUCUGGUAGAUUCUCGUCCAGUUAACAGUACCACCCCUAGAUGAAUCAUAUAAACAACAUCCAUGUUAUAUGUCACAACAAAAUGUAUAAAGAAUCUCACACAACAGCUAUUGAUAUAUUCCUCCAUGCUAUUCCCAUUUCGCAAUAGCUUGUUAUCUUGUGGUUGGUGUCGGUGUACUGAAUGCACAACCAUUCCUGCCUCCAAUAGUGCAAUUCGAGCAUUCCCGACAAUGGUAGAAUCAAUUGCAGAAAUAACAUCUACAAGAAAAUAAAUAUUAGUGAAGGAGGGAAAUGCUUUAUCCACCUCUUCGUCUGUGUCCUUCAAUACAAAUUCCUUAAAAAUAACAGUCCAACUAAAAUUGGGAUCUCCAAUUAAUGGUCUUGCAACCUUGUGUCCACAACCAAUCACACAAGACCACCGAAGAGUGUCGUCGAACAUCCUUGUUGUACUAAUUCUGAAAUGUUUAACAGUUCCCUCGUCCAUUGAAAACAUUCCCAAGUCAUCAAGGAGCUCACAAUCACUGUACUCUGGUCCAACAACUACCAGCUUCCAAUACUUCACUGCGGUGAUUGCUUUCACGAGCUUAACAUCAUCAACAGCUUCGCGUAGGAAGGACGUGUUCAUGGAAUGAUCAUUGUGCACAUCGAAAGCACGCAACGACAAACUAGUGGUACAAACAUGUUGUCCACUUUCUCGACUUGAUUGAUCAUGACCAUACUGAGGCAGUUCAGAGAGAACUUUGUUUGGAAUUGAAAUUGCUUCAUCAUUAGUAGUGUUAUUAUACAAAUCUGGAUCUGUCACCAUUUGAUCAUACCCACUAAGCACUGAAGAAACUAUUAGUGAUGGCCUAUUGUCCAUUUCUUCAGAAGUGUCAUUAUUUUCUUCAACAGAGGUAGUGUCCGAAGAAUCUACAUCAUUACUCUUCUUGGGAAUUUUAUCGAACAUGUGGUCUACCUCAGAAUUUUUAGCAAAGAGAUUGUGUUGAUAAGACUGAGGCGAGGAUGAGUUAGUAAUAUUACCCCACAAUGGAAUAACCUUUUGAUAGUAAUCCACUAUCCUAUCAUUCUUGUUCUUGGGAAUGGGUAAGAACCCGCGAGAUGUGUCUCUAGUACGGGAGCCAAAACGAAUCAUCAAUUUGUCCACAAAAUGGUCCCAACCAGCGAGUUGAUUGUUGCGAAAUAACCAUCCAUACCAUUCCAAAGCCUCACCAUCAAAAUAGAACGAAGCCACAUUAAGCUUCUGAUCUUCCUCAAUUUUAUAGCAAUUAAAAUAAUGCUCUGCUUGAACUAUCCAAGCGUCCGGAUUCUCACCUCGAAACUGCCCCAAUUUGACGUCCAUAACUAUGUUUUUGGGUUCAAAAGAGGUCGUAUCCUUUUCCCCCAAAACCUCCCGCAACAUCGAACGACAUUCAGCGAGAUCUUUAGAGAUUGAAUCCUUCAUUUCUUGUAUUGCAUCCCGAAUUGAAUCACCAACGAAAGCCUUGAGUACUUUUUGGUCCUCCAUUAGAGAGACCUCUAGAUGAAAGCACCAAUGUAACAAACUCAAUUCCAACAGAAGCACUCUUAUAUAUAUUAAUUACUGAAUACAAGUUACAAGGUAGAAUACGCACAAUAAAGUAAUAAUACACUAAUUACGGAUAACUUAACAUAGAUGAAGGUAACUAGAAGGGGAUGAGAUACUAGACCAUAGAAAGGAGAUGAGAGGAUCAGAAAGCCAAAGCUUCACAUAAAUUUCAUGCCCCUUCUUCCAACUUCUAGUCCUUUUUAAUAGAGA